rnacentral:rRNA from 1 species
CCUANGGGCGGCUGCAGUAACGAAUAUUCCACAAUGGGCGCAAGCCUGAUGGAGCAAUGCCGCGUGCAGGAUGAAGCCCCUCGGGGUGUAAACUGCUGUCAGGGUUUAGGAAACAAAUGACCAUACCCAAAGGAAGAGGCGGCUAACUCUGUGCCAGCAGCCGCGGUAAUACAGAGGCCUCGAGCGUUGCGCGGAAUCACUGGGCUUAAAGGGUGCGUAGGCGGACAUACAAGUGCCUUGUGAAAUCCCAGAGCUCAACUCUGGAACUGCUUGGUAGACUGUGUGUCUUGAGGUCGGUAGGGGUCGCUGGAACAGUUGGUGGAGCGGUGAAAUGCGUAGAUAUCAACUGGAACGCCAAAGGUGAAGACAAGCGACUGGGCCGAUUCUGACGCUGAGGCACGAAAGCGUGGGGAGCAAACGGGAUUAGAUACCCCGNUANUC